CCUACGGGAGGCAGCAGUAAGGAAUAUUGGACAAUGCUCGCAAGAGUGAUCCAGCCAUGCCGCGUGCAGGAAGAAUGCCCUAUGGGUAGUAAACUGCUUUUGAACUAGAGAAAACCCCAGUACGUGUACUGGGCUGAUAGUAUAGUUAGAAUAAGCAUCGGCUAACUUCGUGCCAGCAGCCGCGGUAAGACGAAGGAUGCAAGCGUUAUCCGGAUUCAUUGGGUUUAAAGGGAGCGUAGGUGGACUGAUAAGUCAGUGGUGAAAUCUCCGAGCUUAACUCGGAAAUUGCCAUUGAUACUGUUGGUCUUGAGUACAGUUGCUGUGGGCGGAAUAUGACAUGUAGUGGUGAAAUACAUAGAGAUGUCAUAGAACACCGAUUGCGAAGGCAGCUCACAAAGCUGUAACUGACACUGAGGCUCGAAAGUGCGGGGAUCAAACAGGAUUAGAUACCCUGGUAGUCCGCACCGUAAACGAUGAUUACUCGCUGCUAGGGGGCAACCUUUAGUGGCUUAGCGAAAGCGANAAGUAAUCACCUGGGAGUACGCGCGAACGGUGAAACUCAAAUGAAUUGACGGNUUGAGGAGNGCGAGACGACACGAGGGAGGAG
rnacentral:rRNA from 1 species